GUCGGUUAUGUUCUCGACUUCAUGUGCGCUUUAAUUAUUAGCGCUUGAAACCGUUUGCAUUUUUUUUUUGUUCUGAGCUCACAUACCCUUCAAAACUAAAACCCUCAAGACUUUAUGAAGAAGCUUGCCCCUCAUUAUCAAAAUAAAUUUAUUUUGUGUGACCUUUAUAUGCUUUAUAUAAUUUAGGAUGAAAUGAGUAACGGAUAUAAACAUCUGAAUAUGUAUAGAAAUAAUGAAUGCAAAUAUUUUCCAUUAGAGUAUUCAGAGUCACGGUGUAAACAAGCAUGGAGUUUUGACGGAACGGGACAUGGAGACAUUAUUGCUGGCAAGGCGGCUGCCUUGCACAUGUACACACACAUUAACCCUUGCACAUAUUCCUUCGACUCCCAUCGGCAAAUCGAGAUUUGGACAACUAACUCAAAUUUGAUGCCCAAGCAUGGCGCUAAAAUCUGCAUAGACCCACCGCGUAGCUAUUUUUUUUAUCUGUGUACAUAAUUUAAAUAUGACUAUAUGUAUAAUGUACAUACUAUGUAUGUGUAAAUUUGUGCACAAUAAAGG
rnacentral:lncRNA from 1 species